rnacentral:rRNA from 1 species
AUGGGAAGCGAGUGCAAGGGCCACCAGCCGCAGGACGACGGCGGCGUGGCGCCGUUCGUGGCGAAGACGUUUCACAUGGUCAGCGACCCGGCCACGGACGCCGUGGUGUGCUGGGGCGGCGCCAGCAACACGUUCCUCGUCCUCGACCCCGCCGCCUUCUCCGACUUCCUCCUCCCCUCCUACUUCAAGCACCGCAACUUCGCCAGCUUCGUCCGGCAGCUCAACACCUACGGUUUUCGCAAGGUUGACCCGGACGUGUGGGAGUUCGCGCACGAGUCGUUCCUGCGCGGCCAGGCGAAGCUGCUGCCGCUGAUCGUGCGCAAGAAGAAGAGAGCCGGCGCCGGCGCGGCCGGGAGGGAGCUGUGCGUGGACGAAGAGGAGGUGCGGGGAACGAUCCAGGCGGUGCAGAGGCUGCGGGACGAGCGGAGGGGCAUGGAGGAGGAGCUGCAGGCCAUGGACCGCAGGCUCUGUGCGGCGGAGAACCGGCCGGGCCAGAUGAUGGCCUUCCUCGGCAAGCUCGCGGACGACCCGGGCGUGGUGCUUCGCGCCAUGGUCGCCAAGAAGGAGGAGCUGGCUGCGGCCGGUGCCGGUGGCAAGGAUUCAAGCCCAGAUAAGAGGCGGCGGAUCGGGGCCGACGCCGGAUCAGGCGGCCCAGAGCAGGGCCGUGCCGUUCCCCUUCUGUAA